ACGGCGGCAGGGCCCAGCCGCACUGCGCGGCCGUAGUGGGCGGGAGGCAGGGGGAGAUGCGGUCGCCGGCGCUACCGCAGCUCUUGGUGGGGCCGCUGCUGGUGUUGCUGGUGCUGCUGGAGGCCGCCCGCUGCGCGGAGGCUGCGGCCCCUCGCCCCCGGGACGCCGCCACCGCUUCCCCACGCUCAACGGAGGCGGCCGGCGGGGCCUCCACGCGGAGCAGCAGCAACAGUAGUAGCAGCAGCAGCCGCCUGGCCGAGGUGUCGGCGCCGCCCGAGCAGGGCCAGCCCAUGACCCAGCGCGCCCUGUCCGUGCUGGUUCUGGCCAGCGCCGCCCUCAUCGUCUACUUCGUGAUCCGGACCGUGCGGCUCAGAAGGCAAAAUAGAAAAACCCGAAGAUAUGGAGUUUUGGAUAUGAACAUAGAAAACAUGGAGCUGACCCCAUUAGAACAAGAUGAUGAUGAUGAUGAUACAACACUGUUUGAUGCCAGCCAUCCUCGAAGAGAAGUACGUGCCUUUCAUUGAAAGAACUUAAUCUUAGAACCAGAGAAGGAGACUGCUUCAUGGGAGAAAUAAGAAGCAAGAGGGGCCAGUGCAACCCCAAAAAGGUCCCCUCUAGCCAUUGCGUGAAGCUGCUGUGAAGAAAGGUUUAGUCAAAGCAGGCAACCUCUGUAAGCAACUCCUACUAACAUGAGAGGACAGUAGCCUUCAGUUAUAAACAACUAUCAGUCGAACAUGGAUGAACUGCUGCUAAUAUAUUUUGUCCCCUUUUAUUGAUUCUUCUGGUUUACUGGAGGAUGGAGAAAAUUAAUAAAUAACCUUUCAUUGUACUGUUUUCCUUACACAUUUGCAUGAUUUAGGUCAUAUUCCAGUUUUCAAGUGUUUUUCUACAUAAAGAGUGACUACUUUUUCCUUAGUUUUAUUUCAAGACACCCACACCAAUUGUGUCUUAGGCCUUCAAAUGAAUAAAAAUCAAAUCAAUUUUCACAGAAACACCAGAAGUUCUUAUUCUCACUCUACAGUUAAGGCACCAAGACCAUGAGAAUUUAAAUUUUUACUGGUUUUAGUAAGUUUUCUUCAGUUAAAACAGGUAGAGAUGAUUUUCCAGGGUGUUGAAGCAUUUCAUAUGUUCUGUGUAUAUGCUGGUUUUUUUAUUUUUGUGUUGUAUGAGUUUUUAUAGGCCCAGAAUCCUAAUUUGAUUGAUCAGCAAAUGACAACUACAUUAUGAAUGGCAAAGUGGACACAUUUUGAGUUAAAAGAUUUCUUUGACCUCACUUGGAGACUCAGUGGCAGAUCUUGGAGUGGAAUCAGUUUCUCUAGAGAAUUGUUCAAUUUUGUUUCUUUUUUCUUUUAGGCUUGAAAUAAAGCACAUAGAUAUGUAA